rnacentral:lncRNA from 1 species
CUGAAACCUAGGAAGAACAAUAAAUUGAUAAUGCAGAGAGAAAUGCACGGUAUGCCGAUGGCGCAAGGCUAGGGAUUCAAAAAAAGACUAGAUUCGGAUUUGCCUGAAAAAUUCAAGGACUUCUGGAUUACAGAAUUACCUUCUACCUCUACAAAAUAUGAAAAUACAAUUCAAAAUAUAAGAUAAAGAUUAGCUGAAACCACAU